UAGGGAAUUUUCGUCAAUGGGGGGAACCCUGAACGAGCAAUGCCGCGUGAGUGAAGAAGGUCUUCGGAUCGUAAAGCUCUGUUGUAAGAGAAAAAGGGCGCAUAUAGGAAAUGAUAUGCGAUUGAUGGUAUCUUACCAGAAAGCCACGGCUAACUACGUGCCAGCAGCCGCGGUAAUACGUAGGUGGCGAGCGUUAUCCGGAAUGAUUGGGCGUAAAGGGUGCGUAGGUGGCACGAUAAGUCUGGAGUAAAAGGGAGCGGCUCAACCGCUGUUGGCUCUGGAAACUGUCGAGCUAGAGAGCAGGAGAGGGCGAUGGAAUUCCAUGUGUAGCGGUAAAAUGCGUAGAUAUAUGGAGGAACACCGGUGGCGAAGGCGGUCGCCUGGCCUGCAACUGACACUGAAGCACGAAAGCGUGGGGAGCAAAUA
rnacentral:rRNA from 1 species